rnacentral:lncRNA from 1 species
CAGGCCGAACACGAUCGAGGAAUUCGUCGUAAAAGACGAAAAAUAAUUAAACAAGAAAGAGCGAGAGAGAUAUACAGGGAUGUUUAAAAGAGAAAAAAAGAUCUGAGAGGGAAAGAAAAAUGAUUUAUUAUUGAGCACGAAAAUAGGAAGAAAAUAGAAGCUGGUCGUUCGUGUACGUACACAAAGAGGGGAACGUGCUGUUGACUUCUGGCGAUUGUGGAACAAAGAGAAAAUGUUACGCAGUACGAGCAACAUGUGAGUAAAAUAGCAUAAAUUUAUACAUUUAAAACUAGUCAAAACUGUACUUCUCGUAAUACCAUUCGCAUAUUUUAAAGACGGUGUCCUAUAAAAUAAAAUACGUGAAGUAUCAUAAUGUUCCUGAAACCCGC